rnacentral:rRNA from 1 species
AUUGAACGCUGGCGGCAGGCCUAACACAUGCAAGUCGAGCGGAUGAAGAGAGCUUGCUCUCUGAUUCAGCGGCGGACGGGUGAGUAAUGCCUAGGAAUCUGCCUGGUAGUGGGGGACAACGUUUCGAAAGGAACGCUAAUACCGCAUACGUCCUACGGGAGAAAGUGGGGGAUCUUCGGACCUUCCGCUAUCAGAUGAGCCUAGGUACGAUUAGCUAGUUGGUGAGGUAAAGGCUCACCAAGGCGACGAUCGUUAACUGGUCUGAGAGGAUGAUCAGUCACACUGGAACUGAGACACGGUCCAGACUCCUACGGGAGGCAGCAGUGGGGAAUAUUGGACAAUGGGCGAAAGCCUGAUCCAGCCAUGCCGCGUGUGUGAAGAAGGUCUUCGGAUUGUAAAGCACUUUAAGUUGGGAGGAAGGGCAGUAAGUUAAUACCUUGCUGUUUUGACGUUACCGACAGAAUAAGCACCGGCUAACUUCGUGCCAGCCGCCGCCGUAAAAC